rnacentral:antisense_RNA from 1 species
CUAAAUUAUGAUGCUCAUCAUAGGGAGAAGCGUUUUCAUCAA